rnacentral:misc_RNA from 1 species
GAUGAAGAACGUAGCGAAAUGCGAUAAGUAAUGUGAAUUGCAGAAUUCAGUGAAUCAUCGAAUCUUUGAACGCACAUUGCGCCCGUCAGUAUUCUGGCGGGCAUGCCUGUUCGAGCGUCAUUACGCCCCUCAAGUCCCCUGUGGACUUGGUGUUGGGGAUCGGCGAGGCUGGUUUUCCAGCACAGCCGUCCCUUAAAUUAAUUGGCGGUCUCGCCGUGGCCCUCCUCUGCGCAGUAGUAAAACACUCGCAACAGGAGCCCGGCGCGGUCCACUGCCGUAAACCCCCCCAACUUUUUAUAGUUGACCUCGAAUCAGGUAGGACUACCCGCUGAACUUAAGCAUAUCGAUAAGCGGAGGA